rnacentral:rRNA from 1 species
CUAUGCGCCUUGCCAGCCCGCUCAGGUGUGCCAGCAGCCGCGGUAAUACGUAGGUGGCAAGCGUUAUCCGGAAUUAUUGGGCGUAAAGAGCGCGCAGGUGGUUAAUUAAGUCUGAUGUGAAAGCCCACGGCUUAACCGUGGAGGGUCAUUGGAAACUGGUUGACUUGAGUGCAGAAGAGGGAAGUGGAAUUCCAUGUGUAGCGGUGAAAUGCGUAGAGAUAUGGAGGAACACCAGUGGCGAAGGCGGAUUGCUGGACAGUAACUGACGCUGAGGCGCGAAAGCGUGGGGAGCAAACAGG